GAUGAAGUUUCAAACUUUCAAGAGGUGCAUUCUCGAAUAGUCGCCUCAAUAUGUUUUGUACAAGACAUAGUACAUUUUUUCGAAACAUUUUUAUUCUCUAGCUCCCAAUCGAUCCUGAAAGACACGUACAAUAUUACAUGCAUUUGAAAUGAUGGUUAGGAGGAUGGAGUACUGCUUCAUGAGUAUUGUUGUGCUACUGCUGCUGGUUCUUCUGUCUUCGUCUACAGCGUUUCCGAGAGAAGCAACAACAUCUACCGGAAAUGGCUUCACAGGAACAACGAUAUCGUCGCAAAAGGGUAUAGAAGACACUGAUCAUGAAGAAGCCGCUGCUUAUAAUUAUGCUGGAGAUUACGAUUAUUAUCGACAGCAUGGUGAUGUUCCAAGCCCUGGAGUUGGUCACAGAAAAUGAUCGAGUCUCUCCCCCUUCUGCUUGCUGUGCCUGAUUGUUUUGUUGUUUUAUUUUUCUCUGUUUGCAUCUGUUAGACGUGUAAGUACGUACGUACCUUGAUCUUGUUAAUACAUACAUAUAUUAUU